rnacentral:rRNA from 1 species
GGGUUGUGAGGUUAAGCGACUAAGCGUACACGGUGGAUGCCCUGGCAGUCAGAGGCGAUGAAGGGCGUGCUAAUCUGCGAUAAGCGCCGGUAAGGUGAUAUGAACCGUUAUAACCGGCGAUACCCGAAUGGGGAAACCCAGUGUGAUUCGUCACACUAUCAUUAACUGAAUCCAUAGGUUAAUGAGGCGAACCGGGGGAACUGAAACAUCUAAGUACCCCGAGGAAAAGAAAUCAACCGAGAUUCCCCCAGUAGCGGCGAGCGAACGGGGAGGAGCCCAGAGCCUGAAUCAGCAUGUGUGUUAGUGGAAGCGUCUGGAAAGGCGCGCGAUACAGGGUGACAGCCCCGUACACAAAAGCGCAUGUGCUGUGAGCUCGAUGAGUAGGGCGGGACACGUGGUAUCCUGUCUGAAUAUGGGGGGACCAUCCUCCAAGGCUAAAUACUCCUGACUGACCGAUAGUGAACCAGUACCGUGAGGGAAAGGCGAAAAGAACCCCGGCGAGGGGAGUGAAAAAGAACCUGAAACCGUGUACGUACAAGCAGUGGGAGCACAGGUUUACCUGUGUGACUGCGUACCUUUUGUAUAAUGGGUCAGCGACUUAUAUUCUGUAGCAAGGUUAACCGUAUAGGGGAGCCGUAGGGAAACCGAGUCUUAACCGGGCGUUAAGUUGCAGGGUAUAGACCCGAAACCCGGUGAUCUAGCCAUGGGCAGGUUGAAGGUUGGGUAACACUAACUGGAGGACCGAACCGACUAAUGUUGAAAAAUUAGCGGAUGACCUGUGGCUGGGGGUGAAAGGCCAAUCAAACCGGGAGAUAGCUGGUUCUCCCCGAAAGCUAUUUAGGUAGCGCCUCGUGAACUCAUCUCCGGGGGUAGAGCACUGUUUCGGCUAGGGGGCCAUCCCGGCUUACCAACCCGAUGCAAACUGCGAAUACCGGAGAAUGUUAUCACGGGAGACACACGGCGGGUGCUAACGUCCGUCGUGAAGAGGGAAACAACCCAGACCGCCAGCUAAGGUCCCAAAGUCAUGGUUAAGUGGGAAACGAUGUGGGAAGGCCCAGACAGCCAGGAUGUUGGCUUAGAAGCAGCCAUCAUUUAAAGAAAGCGUAAUAGCUCACUGGUCGAGUCGGCCUGCGCGGAAGAUGUAACGGGGCUAAACCAUGCACCGAAGCUGCGGCAGCGACACUAUGUGUUGUUGGGUAGGGGAGCGUUCUGUAAGCCUGUGAAGGUGUGUCGUGAGGCAUGCUGGAGGUAUCAGAAGUGCGAAUGCUGACAUAAGUAACGAUAAAGCGGGUGAAAAGCCCGCUCGCCGGAAGACCAAGGGUUCCUGUCCAACGUUAAUCGGGGCAGGGUGAGUCGACCCCUAAGGCGAGGCCGAAAGGCGUAGUCGAUGGGAAACAGGUUAAUAUUCCUGUACUUGGUGUUACUGCGAAGGGGGGACGGAGAAGGCUAUGUUGGCCGGGCGACGGUUGUCCCGGUUUAAGCGUGUAGGUGUGUGUUCCAGGUAAAUCCGGUUCACUUUAACACUGAGGCGUGAUGACGAGGCACUACGGUGCUGAAGCAACAAAUGCCCUGCUUCCAGGAAAAGCCUCUAAGCAUCAGGUAACAUCAAAUCGUACCCCAAACCGACACAGGUGGUCAGGUAGAGAAUACCAAGGCGCUUGAGAGAACUCGGGUGAAGGAACUAGGCAAAAUGGUGCCGUAACUUCGGGAGAAGGCACGCUGACAUGUAGGUGAAGUGAUUUACUCAUGGAGCUGAAGUCAGUCGAAGAUACCAGCUGGCUGCAACUGUUUAUUAAAAACACAGCACUGUGCAAACACGAAAGUGGACGUAUACGGUGUGACGCCUGCCCGGUGCCGGAAGGUUAAUUGAUGGGGUCAGCGCAAGCGAAGCUCCUGAUCGAAGCCCCGGUAAACGGCGGCCGUAACUAUAACGGUCCUAAGGUAGCGAAAUUCCUUGUCGGGUAAGUUCCGACCUGCACGAAUGGCGUAAUGAUGGCCAGGCUGUCUCCACCCGAGACUCAGUGAAAUUGAACUCGCUGUGAAGAUGCAGUGUACCCGCGGCAAGACGGAAAGACCCCGUGAACCUUUACUAUAGCUUGACACUGAACAUUGAGCCUUGAUGUGUAGGAUAGGUGGGAGGCUUUGAAGCGUGGACGCCAGUCUGCGUGGAGCCGACCUUGAAAUACCACCCUUUAAUGUUUGAUGUUCUAACGUGGACCCGUAAUCCGGGUUGCGGACAGUGUCUGGUGGGUAGUUUGACUGGGGCGGUCUCCUCCUAAAGAGUAACGGAGGAGCACGAAGGUUGGCUAAUCCUGGUCGGACAUCAGGAGGUUAGUGCAAUGGCAUAAGCCAGCUUGACUGCGAGCGUGACGGCGCGAGCAGGUGCGAAAGCAGGUCAUAGUGAUCCGGUGGUUCUGAAUGGAAGGGCCAUCGCUCAACGGAUAAAAGGUACUCCGGGGAUAACAGGCUGAUACCGCCCAAGAGUUCAUAUCGACGGCGGUGUUUGGCACCUCGAUGUCGGCUCAUCACAUCCUGGGGCUGAAGUAGGUCCCAAGGGUAUGGCUGUUCGCCAUUUAAAGUGGUACGCGAGCUGGGUUUAGAACGUCGUGAGACAGUUCGGUCCCUAUCUGCCGUGGGCGCUGGAGAACUGAGGGGGGCUGCUCCUAGUACGAGAGGACCGGAGUGGACGCAUCACUGGUGUUCGGGUUGUCAUGCCAAUGGCACUGCCCGGUAGCUAAAUGCGGAAGAGAUAAGUGCUGAAAGCAUCUAAGCACGAAACUUGCCCCGAGAUGAGUUCUCCCUGAGACUUAGAGUCUCCUGAAGGAACGUUGAAGACGACGACGUUGAUAGGCCGGGUGUGUAAGCGCAGCGAUGCGUUGAGCUAACCGGUACUAAUGAACCGUGAGGCUUAACCUUACAACGCCGAAG